CUACUUCAGCGAGAUCAGGGCUGGGAAGAAACUGCUUUCCACAGGCCUUUGUAAGAGAUGUUCCCGGUAGGCUGUAAGAGCACUGUUGAGAGCGAGUUGUUUCUUAGCUUCCCAAAGAGCUGGAAGCAAGACGCUUUGCGGCCUGUCUCCACUUCAGGAACAAGGCAGGACUUUGUGACUUGCACCUCUAGGGCAGAGUACGACACGUCAAAGGAGAAGUUCUACUUCAGCCAGAUCAGGGCUGGGAAGAAACUGCGUUUCACAGGCAUUUGUAAGAGAUGUCCCUGGUAGGCUGUAAGAGCACUGUGUAGAGGGAGUUGUUUCUUAGCUUCCGAAAGAGCUGGAAGCAAGGCCGUUUGUGGCUUCUCUCAUUUGGCAGCAAUGACUCAGUGUGUUGUCUCUUCCACCUCUAGAGCAAUGUAGAACAUGGCAUAGAGCAGAAGUUCCAAGGCAGUGAGAUCAUGGCUGGAAACACCCUGCAUUUCAGGCCUUUGUAUGAGAGGUUCCCGGUAGAUUGUAAGAGCCCUGUGGAAAGCGAGUUCUUUCUCAUCUUGCCAAAGAGAUGGAGGCAAGACGGUCUGUGGCCUGUCUCAUCUUAAGGAAGCCAAGCAGGGCUUUGUGACUUCCACCUCUACAGCAAUGUAUUACACUUCACAGCAGAAGUUCUACUUCAGCGAGAUCAGGGGUGAGAAGAAACUGCGUUUCAUAGGAUUUGUGAGAGAUUUUACAGAAGGCUGUGAGAGCACUGUGGAGAGCUAGUUGUUUCUUACCUUCCCAAAGAGCAGGAAGCAAAACGCUUUGUGGCCUGUCUCCCCUUGAGGAAACAAGGGAGGACGUCGUGCCUUGCACCUCUUGGGCAAUGUAGGACAGGACAGAGCAGAAGUUCUACUUCAGCAAGAUCAGUGCUGGAAAGAAACUGCGUUUCACAGGGCUUUGUGAGAGAUGUUCCCGGUAGCCUGUAAGAGAACUCUGGAGAGCAAGUUGUUUCUUAGCUUCCCAAAGAGCUGGAACCAAGAAGAUUUGUGGCCUGUCUCCCCUUGAAGAAACAAGGCAGGAAUUUGUGCCUUGCACCUCUAGUUCAAUGUAGGACACGGCAGAGCAGGAGUGCUACUUCAGCGAGAUCAGGGUUGGAAAGAACGGCAUUUGACAGGCCUUUGUGAGAGAUGGUGCCGGUAGGCUGUAACAGCACUGUGGAGAUCGAGUUGUUUCUUAGCUUCCCAAAGAGCUGAAAGCAAGAAGGUUUGUGGCUUGUCUCCUUGGGAGGCAAUGAGUCAUCACUUUGUCACUUCCACCUCUAUAGCAAUGUACCACAGGGCUUAUAGCAGAAGUUCCAAGGCGGUGACAUCUGGACUGGAAACAAACUGCAUUUCAGGUCUUUGUAUCAGAGGUUCCCGUUACUCUGUUAGAGCCCAGGGGAAAGCGAGUUCUUUCUCACCUUGUGAAAGAGCUGUAAGCAAGACAAUCUGUGGCCUGUCUCAUCUUGGAGCCAGGAAGGGCUUUGUGACUUCCACCUCUAGGGCAAUGUAUUCCACGGCAGAACAGAAUUUAUACUUCAGCAAGAACAUGGCUGGGAAGAAACUGCGUUUCAUAGGAUUUCUGAGAGAAGUUCCAAGUAGGAUGUAAGACCACUGUGGAGAGCGAGUUGUUUCUUAGCUUCCAAAACAGCUGGAAGCAAGACCGUUUGUGGCUUGUCUCCUUUGGUGGGAAUGACUCAGCCCUUUGUGACUUCCACCUCUAGGGAAAUAUAUUACACGGCAGAGCAGAAGUUCUACUUCAGCGAGAUCAGGGCUGGGAAGAAGCUGCAUUUCACAGGCAUUUGUAAGAGAUGUUCCCGGUAGGCUUUAAGAGCAGUGUGGAGACCAAGUUGUUUCUUAUCUUCCCAAAGAUCUCGAAGGAAGAAGCUUUGUGGCCUCUCUUCCCUUGAGAAAACAAGGCAAUACUUUGUGCCUUGGAUCUCUAGGGAAAUGUAGGACAUGGCAGGGCAGAAGUUCUACUUCAGGGAUAUCAGGGCUGGAAAGAAACUGCGUUUCACAGGUCUUUGUAAGUGAUGUUCCCAGUAGGCUAUAAGAGCAAGAUGGAGAGCCACUUGUUUCUUAGCUUCCUAGAGCUGGAAGAAAGACCGUUUGUGUCUUGUCUCCUUUGGAGGCAAUGACUCAUAGCUUUCUCACUUCCACCUCUAGAGCAAUGUAGAACACGGCAGAGCAGAAGUUCUACUUCAGCGCGAUCAGGGCUGGGAAGAAACUGCGUUUCACAGGCCUUUGUAAGAGAUGUUCCCUGAAGGCUGUAAGUGCACUGUGGAGAGUGAGUUGUUUAUUAGCUUACCAAAGAGGUGGAAGCAACACCGUUUGAGGCUUGUCUCCUUUGGAGGCAAUGACUCAGCGCUUUGUGUCUUCCAUCUCUAGAGUAAUGUGGGACAUGGCUUAGAGCAGACAUUACAAGGCGGUGAGAUCAUGGCUGGCAACAAACUGCAUUUCAGGCCUUUCUCUGAGAGGUUCCCAGCAGGCUGUAAGAGCCCUGUAGAAAGCGAGUUCUUCCUCACCUUGCCAAAGAGCUGGAUGCGAGACGGUCUUUGGCCUGUCUCCUCUUGAGGAAGCCUGGCAGGACAUUGUGACUUCCACCUAUAGGGCAAAGAAUUACACGGCAGAGUAGAGGUUCUACUUCAGCGAGAUCAGGGCUGGAAAGAAACUGCGUUUCACACGCCUUUGUAAGAGUUGUUACCAGUAGGCUGUAAGAGCACUGUGGAGAGCCAGUUGUUUCUUAGCUUGCCAAAGGGCUGGAAGCAAGACCGUUUGUUUCUUGUCUCCUUUGGUGGCAAUGACUCAGCUCAUUGUGACUUAAACCUCUAGAGCAAUGUAGAUCAUGGCUUGGAGCAGAGGUUCCCAGGCGGUGAGAUCAGGGCUGGAAACAAACUGGGUGUCAG
ensembl:lncRNA